rnacentral:rRNA from 1 species
UACGAAGGGGGCUAGCGUUGCUCGGAAUCACUGGGCGUAAAGCGCACGUAGGCGGCUUUUUAAGUCAGGGGUGAAAUCCUGGAGCUCAACUCCAGAACUGCCUUUGAUACUGAGAAGCUUGAGUCCGGGAGAGGGGAGUGGAACUGCGAGUGUAGAGGUGAAAUUCGUAGAUAUUCGCAAGAACACCAGUGGCGAAGGCGGCUCACUGGCCCGGUACUGACGCUGAAGUGCGAAAGCGUGGGGAGCAAACAGG